rnacentral:rRNA from 1 species
CCCUUAGAUGUUCUGGGCCGCACGCGCGCUACACUGAUGAAUUCAACGAGCUCCUAACCUAGGCCGAAGGGUCCGGGUAUCUUUGAAAUUUCAUCGUGAUGGGGAUAGAUUAUUGCAAUUAUUAAUCUUCAACGAGGAAUUCCUAGUAAGCGCGAGUCAUCAGCUCGCGUUGAUUACGUCCCUGCCCUUUGUACACACCGCCCGUCGCUCCUACCGAUUGAAUGGUCCGGUGAAAUGUUCGGACCGCGACAAGGCGGACGGUUCGCUGUCAGCUUUGCUGCGGGAAGUUCAUUAAACCUUAUCAUUUAGAGGAAGGAGAAGUCGUAACA